rnacentral:rRNA from 1 species
UUGGGCCUACGGGGCGCAGCAGUGAGGAAUAUUGGUCAAUGGGCGGAAGCCUGAACCAGCCAAGUCGCGUGAGGGAAGAAGGCCCUGCGGGUCGCAGACCUCUUUGGACGGGGAGCAAAGCCGCCGACGUGUCGGCGGAAGGAGAGUACCCGUAGAACAAGCAUCGGCUAACUCCGGCCCAGCAGCCGCGGUAAUACGGAGGAUGCGAGCGUUAUCCGGAUUUAUUGGGUUUAAAGGGUG